rnacentral:miRNA from 12 species
CAGAGCCAGGCUCUUUUCAGCGAUGCUCAGUGGCAGGACAAGAGGCAGUGGGCACAAGCUGGAACACAGGAGGUUCUUGAACUGCAGGAA